UGUAGCUCAGUUAGUAGAUUAUUGCGUUAUACCUUGAUAUGUAAUCAUGCUAUCAUGGGUUCGAUCCCAGGGAACAGGGACUUGCACGAAAAUGUAUAUGCUCAAUAAAUCAUAAUUUAACAUGAUUUCUGUGAGGGUUAGGUUUAGGGGUGGGGUUAGGUACGAAUAAGCCACCUACAGUAGUAAAAUAUGUAGGAAAUACUGUGAGAUCGGUGUAAAACGCCCACACAUUGCAUUUAAAUAAAUGUGCGUUUUGAUUGGUAAUGACGUUAUACGUCAAUUCAUGACGACAGAUGCAACGCGAUACUGUCAUUAUUUUUACGCCCGCUAGAGGUCGCUUAACUUUAAAACGUAAUAUAGGUCGUAAUAAAUGCUUGCACAAACGACCUACAGUAUAUGGUUGUUUUUUUGUUGGAGGACAGGCUCGUCUUGUACUAGGACACUAGGACCCGACCGACCGCGACCCGAAUAGUAUUAAAAAUGUUUUUGAAUGACUCAUAACCGCAGGCAACCGCGGACGACCGCAGGCACCAGCACAUUUUGGAUCAACCCGCGCAUCACUGAUUCUCGUAGCUUCAUAAAAUUAUGGUUGAACCAUAGAUGUCACAUGGACUACUUUAACAAUGUCCUUGCUACAAAUAAAGCAGGAUAUCAACCCACAUUAUUUCAGACUCUGUCCUUUCAUUUGCUUUUAGUGUAGAGGAACAGAGAACAUCUGGUGUAUUCACCUGCAAAACACUAGCAGGAAGCUGACCAUGUGACGUACAGUGGAGUGGGAGAGCGGCCCUGUCUGAUCCCAUCAGAGAUCACUGCUCCUUCACAGAUUCUAUCUCCUGUGUCAGUCAUCAUCCUGUGAUCCUUAACCAAUCCACAGUCACCAGGUGGGUUGGUAUUUGUUAUCCUCACCCAAUCAGAUUGCAUCACACCAUAGAAUUCUUGCUGAGUUGUGACUUUCAGCUGACGGUUCAAAAUAUUUUUAGCAUGGAAGCAAGGAAUGAUUCAGCUGUUUUUGUUAGAUUUUUUUUUCAUUCUGAAUUGCAGGUCUACAACAAAAACAACAUAAUACACACCCAAAACUUUGAUAUACAGGAACAUUAUAUCCUCAUAAUAAAGCUAAAUGUAAG